rnacentral:tRNA from 1 species
GUCAAGUUAGUUUAAAUAAAAUAUCAACCUGUGGAUUUGAAGCUAAAAAUUAAUUUUACUUGACC